GACAGCAGUAGCCACGGGAAUACAGAGGUCCCGAGCGUUGUUCGGAUUCAUUGGGCGUAAAGGGUGUGUAGGAGGCCAGGUAAGUCAGGUGUGAAAUCUCAGAGCUUAACUCUGAAACUGCGCUUGAUACUGCUUGGCUAGAGGAUCGGAGGGGGUAACGGAAUUUAUGGUGUAGCAAUGAAAUGCGUAGAUAUCAUAAGGAACACCGGUGGCGAAGGCGGUUACCUGGAAGAUUCCUGACUCUGAAACACGAAAGCCAGGGGAGCAAACGGGAUUAGAUACCCCCGUAGUCCCUGUCUCUUAUAC
rnacentral:rRNA from 1 species